CUGGGCAAUCUCGACCUGUGGUCGCAUUUCUCAUCGAAGGUCUUCAGUGCCGACGCGGUCACGCGGCCUAAGCCGGCGCCCGAUCUGCUGCUUUAUUGCGCUCGCCAGUUCUCGGCAGCGCCGGAGCAUUGCGUCAUGAUCGACGACAGCCCGCACGGCGUGGAAGCGGCAGUCGCCGCCGGCAUGCUGGCGAUAGGAUUUGUCGAUCCAGCUGAUCCGCGCCCAAGCCGCAGGGCGCUGCUGAUCGAGGCUGGGGCAAUGACCGUCGCCACGGGGGCCGACGGGCUGCUGGAAGCGCUUUCGCGGGCAAACAUCGAACUGGCUCAUCGCAGGGGUGGAUCAAGC
rnacentral:misc_RNA from 1 species